CGGCGGACGGGUGAGUAACGCGUGGGUAGCCUGCCUCAUACAGGGGGAUAACAGUUAGAAAUGACUGCUAAUACCGCAUAAGACCACAGCACCGCAUGGUGCGGGGGUAAAAACUCCGGUGGUAUGAGAUGGACCCGCGUCUGAUUAGCUAGUUGGUAAGGUAACGGCUUACCAAGGCGACGAUCAGUAGCCGACCUGAGAGGGUGACCGGCCACAUUGGGACUGAGACACGGCCCAA
rnacentral:rRNA from 1 species